rnacentral:rRNA from 1 species
UACGUAGGUGGCAAGCGAUGUCCGGAAUUACUGGGUGUAAAGGGCGUGUAGGCGGGUAUGCAAGUCAGAUGUGAAAUUCCUCUGCUCAACGGAGGCGCUGCAUCUGAAACUGUAUAUCUUGAGUGCUGGAGAGGAAAGCGGAAUUCCUAGUGUAGCGGUGAAAUGCGUAGAGAUUAGGAGGAACACCAGUGGCGAAGGCGGCUUUCUGGACAGUAACUGACGAUGAGGCGCGAAAGCGUGGGGAGCAAACAGG